AACGAACGCUGGCGGCAUGCCUAACACAUGCAAGUCGAACGAGACCUUCGGGUCUAGUGGCGCACGGGUUCGUAACGCGUGGGAACCUGCCCUUAGGUUCGGAAUAACUCCCCGAAAGGGGUGCUAAUACCGGAUAAUGUCUUCGGACCAAAGAUUUAUCGCCUUUGGAUGGGCCCGCGUUGGAUUAGCUAGUUGGUAGGGUAAAAGCCUACCAAGGCGACGAUCCAUAGCUGGUCUGAGAGGAUGAUCAGCCACACUGGGACUGAGACACGGCCCAGACUCCUACGGGAGGCAGCAGUGGGGAAUAGUGGACAAUGGGCGAAAGCCUGAUCCAGCAAUGACGCGUGAGUGAUGAAGGCAUUAGGGUUGUAAAGCUCUUUUACCCGGGAUGAUAAUGACAGUACCGGGAGAAUAAGCUCCGGCUAACUCCGUG
rnacentral:rRNA from 1 species